GGGAGAGAUGGCUGAUUGGACUAAAGUGGCGGAUUGCUAAUCCGUUUUAUGAAUUUUUGUACAAAGGGUUCCAAUCCCUCUCUUUUCGCGUUACU